rnacentral:rRNA from 1 species
AUUGAACGCUGGCGGCAGGCCUAACACAUGCAAGUCGAGCGGAUGAAGGGAGCUUGCUCCUGGAUUCAGCGGCGGACGGGUGAGUAAUGCCUAGGAAUCUGCCUGGUAGUGGGGGAUAACGUCCGGAAACGGGCGCUAAUACCGCAUACGUCCUGAGGGAGAAAGUGGGGGAUCUUCGGACCUCACGCUAUCAGAUGAGCCUAGGUCGGAUUAGCUAGUUGGUGGGGUAAAGGCCUACCAAGGCGACGAUCCGUAACUGGUCUGAGAGGAUGAUCAGUCACACUGGAACUGAGACACGGUCCAGACUCCUACGGGAGGCAGCAGUGGGGAAUAGUGGACAAUGGGCGAAAGCCUGAUCCAGCCAUGCCGCGUGUGUGAAGAAGGUCUUCGGAUUGUAAAGCACUUUAAGUUGGGAGGAAGGGCAGUAAGUUAAUACCUUGCUGUUUUGACGUUACCAACAGAAUAAGCACCGGCUAACUUCG